rnacentral:rRNA from 1 species
GAUGAACGCUAGCGGCAGGCUUAAUACAUGCAAGUCGUGGGGCAGCAGGACUGUAGCAAUACAGUUGCUGGCGACCGGCAAACGGGUGCGGAACACGUACGCAACUUACCCUGAACUGGGGGAUAGCCCGGGGAAACCCGGAUUAAUACCCCGUAAUAUAAUGGAGUGGCAUCACUUUAUUAUUAAAGCUCCGGCGGUUCGGGAUGGGCGUGCGGCUGAUUAGGUAGUUGGUUGAGGUAACGGCUCACCAAGCCUACGAUCAGUAACUGGUGUGAGAGCACGCCCAGUCAGACGGGCACUGGGACACGUGCCCGACUCAUACGGGAGGCAGCAGUAAGGAAGAUUGGGCAAUGGAGGCAACUCUGACCCAGCCAUGCCGCGUAGAGGAUGAAGGCCCUCUGGGUUGUAAACUUCUUUUAUAGGGGACGAAACCUGUGUAUUCUUACGCAGUUGACGGUACCCUAUGAAUAAGCACCGGCUAACUCCGUG